UACGUAGGGUGCGAGCGUUAAUCGGAAUUACUGGGCGUAAAGUGUGCGCAGGCGGCUUGGCAAGUCGGGUGUGAAAUCCCGGGGCUCAACCCCGUGACUGCAUCCGAUACUGUCAGGCUAGAGGUAGGUAGGGGAGAUCGGAAUUCCUGGUGUAGCGGUGAAAUGCGCAGAUAUCAGGAGGAACACCGGUGGCGAAGGCGGAUCUCUGGGCCUUACCUGACGCUCAGGCGCGAAAGCUAGGGGAGCGAACAGG
rnacentral:rRNA from 1 species